GGAAAUUUGUCCACUCUCAAGCCACAGUGUGGGGGGCAGGUAGAAGGAAAAAAUAUGUUAAGUACAAUAUACUAACAUCUUGUCAUUGAAGAUCUACAAAUUGUGAACACAUGAGCAGACAUGUAUGCUUGUAUGUAUGCCCUAAGUUCAAUGAGAUGAAACCCAUCAGUAAACAAGAUUCAUAAACUUCUUGAAGAUAACAAUGAAAUGUUAUUAACACAGAAACAAAAUAAAUAGCAA
rnacentral:misc_RNA from 1 species